rnacentral:rRNA from 1 species
GACGAACGCUGGCGGCGUGCUUAACACAUGCAAGUCGAACGAUGAAGCCCAGCUUGCUGGGUGGAUUAGUGGCGAACGGGUGAGUAACACGAGAGUAACCCGCCCUUAACUCUGGGAUAAGCCUGGGAAACUGGGUCUUAUACCGGAGAGGAGCGUCCACCGCAUGGUGGGUGUUGGAAAGAUUUAUCGGUUUUGGAUGGUCUCGCGGCCUAUCAGCUUGUUGGGGGGGUAAUGGCUCACCAAGGCGACGACGGGUAGCCGGCCUGAGAGGGUGACCGGCCACACUGGGACUGGGACACGGCCCAGACUCCUACGGGAGGCAGCGGUGGGAAAUAUUGCACAAUGGGCGAAAGCCUGAUGCAGCGACGCCGCGUGAGGGAUGACGGCCUUCGGGUUGUAACCCUCUUUCAGUAGGGAAGAAGCGAAAGUGACGGUACCUGCAGAAGAAGCACCGGCUAACUACGUG